GCUCACAUUACAUUGAUUUACUGCGGUUUUAUUGGCCUCAUUUUGCUGUAUAAUAUGCACGCAUAUAUGAGUAAGACCUGUCAUUUGUGUGAGGAACGGGACAGAGACCGCUCCACAGCCUCGUCCUACAUCAGCUAGACACGGACUUCAACAUAGACAGACCACAUUCAGAGAGACUUUUAGACCUCUCAUGUGUUGUCCCAGAUGUGUUGCCAAGAGGAAGUGUUUUGCCCCUGUGGCGCUGUACAAGCCUUUGAGGAGCAGGAUGCCUGGGUGAGGAGUAUAUCCCAGUUCCAGGCUCACCAGAACGGGGGGAGGGAGCUGGCCAGUUUUAGGGAGUUGGGCUCUCAGACCUGGAGAUAGAACUGUGGUUCCCCAGAGACCAGCCUUAAAACACUGAGAUGGUGAAUGUUAUUUAUUUAUAUCAUUUAUGCCAUUUACUACCAGGGACAGUACAUUUGGACAGCCACAUAGAAGGAAGAAUAGGUCAAAAUAGUGAAGAGAAGAUGAUUGUUGCUCCCCAGACAGUGGGCAAACUGGUUGAAAUGUCUCUACAACCAGAUUGUAAUAAUGUAAUUUUAACUAGUUUUGCCCACUGUUUUUGCCAGCUGCUGGAUAUACUGCUGGAUGUAACGACGAGAUGUUUUAUGAAUAGAGACAAUGUGUGUGGUUGUGGUUAUCAAUUACACCUCCUGAGAAGGAAUAAAUGUUAGUGAUAUUGACUGAUCAACUAUGAGUGUGUUGUCAGACAUGAAAAACAUCCUGGUGGUGUAGCCUGUUAUUGAUUCUUUGACUCAGGCAUCCAUCCAAACUGGAAGAGAUCAGGGUGUAACUUUCCUCAACUCUGUUUACUUCAAUACUCACCGAUUAAAGGAUGCUAUUAUUAUUCCACCUGUAUUACCGGUUGGACUCAUUGAACAGUAUGAUCAAGUAGGCAGCUGUGUGUGUGUGUGUGUGUGUGUGUGGUUCAGGGCUGUGGGGUGUGUGCUUCAGGCAGCCACGUUGUGUGUUCUGCCCUACAGGGUCAUGGGGUGGGUGUGUGUGCCCUCGGGGUGCGGCAGCAGCGUCUGUAGGUGAUCCAGGACAAGAUGGUGGCUCGGGCAGAGCUCCACAUUGCUUCUCAGCCAGCUGACCCCUGUCCCGCAGAGAGAUGGUCGAGUAGGCCCUGUUCCAUGGUAAUGACCACCCGGGCUUCCUCACUGCACUCUAUCACCAAGGUGGGGUGAUAUUAUACAAUGCUAAGUGUCUGGUCGUUCACACUGCAACUUCCAUAGACCAAGAGGUUAGAAAGCCUGAACGAGUUAGAACGAAAAGGAGUUUUGGAGGAGUUUGAACAAGUCCUAUGUGUGUUGGAAGUGUCUUUGAAAAGACACAAGGAUAGGAGUUGGGUGCUGGGCUUGAACCGGAAAAUAUAAUAUUUGAAGAUGUUUUAUUAUUAAUGACCUUGGCAUCACUGUGUAUUUUGUGUAUAUGUUGAAUGUUUUGUGUUAUUGGUGACUCAUGUAUUGAAAAAAUAAAGUAAAAUGUUUAAAAGAAAUAAAGGAAUUCAGCUGUC
ensembl:lncRNA